rnacentral:rRNA from 1 species
UACGGAGGGUGCAAGCAUUAAUCGGUAUUAUUGGGCGUAAAGGGCGCGUAGGCGGGUUUGUAAGUCAGAUGUGAAAUUCCGAAGCUCAACUUCGGAGCUGCAUUUGAAACUGUGAAUCUAGAGGAUUGGCGGAGAAAAUGGAAUUCCACGUGUAGCGGUGAAAUGCGUAGAUAUGUGGAAGAACACCUGUGGCGAAAGCGGUUUUCUAACUAAUACCUGACGCUGAGGCGCGAGAGCAAGGGGAGCAAACAGG